rnacentral:rRNA from 1 species
GACGAACGCUGGCGGCGUGCUUAACACAUGCAAGUCGAACGGAAAGGCCCUGCUUUUGUGGGGUGCUCGAGUGGCGAACGGGUGAGUAACACGUGAGUAACCUGCCCUUGACUUUGGGAUAACUUCAGGAAACUGGGGCUAAUACCGGAUAGGAGCUCCUGCUGCAUGGUGGGGGUUGGAAAGUUUCGGCGGUUGGGGAUGGACUCGCGGCUUAUCAGCUUGUUGGUGGGGUAGUGGCUUACCAAGGCUUUGACGGGUAGCCGGCCUGAGAGGGUGACCGGCCACAUUGGGACUGAGAUACGGCCCAGACUCCAACGGGAGGCAGAAGUGGGGAAUAUUGCACAAUGGGCGGAAGCCUGAUGCAACAACGCCGCGUGCGGGAUGACGGCCUUCGGGUUGUAAACCGCUUUCGCCUGUGACGAAGCGUGAGUGACGGUAAUGGGUAAAGAAGCACCGGCUAACUACGUG